ACUCUUCGGAUCCUCACUCUUCACUCCCUUAGGAGCCGCACUUAGGCCUGAGUGUGAUGUGAGCGCCGGGACCGACCUCAAGGUAGCGGCUCUCAUGGCGACGACGGCGACAACAACUGCGUGUGUGCUCUGAGAUCUCGUGGCGUGUGGCGCUUGCGGCGCGCAGCUGGGUACGAUGUAAGCAUUGGUGGGAGCCCAGCUCGCGGCCGCUAAGGUACGAGGCCCGGGAUGCGCAGAUCAGCCGGAGCGGCACAACAUUCAGGCCUGCCCUGCUGCACCUGGCUGGAGGAGUGCAGCAUGUGGUUCCUUGUCGUCAUGGCCCGCCUCGCGAGGAAGGGGAGCGCCGCAUCGCGAAGGCCGCGUCAACGAAGAUGACAGGGACCAUGGCGGAUGUCGGCCGAGCUCAGCUGGCCGUCACCAUCGAGUCCCCAUCAAAGAAGAAGGCUCAGAGGUGCAGCGUUCUCGCAGGGCCCUAUUCCCCGAAAAAAUUGGUUCAUUCUAGCAGGAGCAAAGCAAGCACGAGGAGAUCCACGUCUCCUCCAGCGGCGUCCAUGCCUACAUCGACUAUCACGACGGCGACUGCAGCAGGCGCCCCUUUGUUCAGGACUUGUUAAUCUGACCAUCAGAGUGUUAAUGUGACCGUUUCUUUUUUCCGAGACGGAGGAGUCUGCACUCGUCAUCACCAGCAUCAAGGGAAGGAUCAACACGGCCGUUUGGGGGCCGCUGAACAGGACCAUCAUCACUGCCGGGGAGGAUGCCACCAUUCGCAUCUGGGAUUGUGUGCUACAUGUAUAAUGAAUUGGUGGAUUAAUGUAAUGAUAUUGUAUUUACUGUGGAGAUGUUAAUUUAUUUGGAUCUGAUGUUUUAUAUAUUGAAAAAUUAUAUGGAUGCAAUUAUAUGGGCUGAA